GGGGUAACAGGGAGCUUGCUCCGCUGACGACCGGCGCACGGGUGCGUAACGCGUAUGCAACCUACCUUAUACAGGGGAAUAGCCCAGAGAAAUUUGGAUUAAUGCCUCAUAACAAUAGAAUUCACAUGAAAUUUAUUUAAAAGCUCCGGCGGUAUAAGAUGGGCAUGCGUGACAUUAGUUAGUUGGUAAGGUAACGGCUUACCAAGACAGUGAUGUCUAGGGGUUCUGAGAGGAUGAUCCCCCACACUGGUACUGAGACACGGACCAGACUCC
rnacentral:rRNA from 1 species